CAAAACCUCUGCUUGGGACUCCCUGUAGAGCUCCAGUUCCACCUGUGCAAGAAGUCCUGCUCUGGCAGGGAGAUUGGACUUGAUGAUCUCUUUGGGUCCUUUCCAACCCCUGGCAUCCUGUGAGCCUGUGAAAUCAGCACUCUUGGACUUCCAGAGGAAUGGGGACCUGAGGCAGCAGCUUCUCUGGUGGCUCUGAAAAGCAGACCUGCAGUGGCUGGUCCUGCUCCAGAGGAGCUCACAGGAUGCAGCAUCUCACACCAAGCAGGAGGGCAGAGGCAGGUGAAGUUUCUCAGCCGUGCCUUCAGCAUGGACACCUCCAGGAGCUGUGUCUGGAAUCGAGGAGCUGAAUGUCUCCAGGGUGGAGGAAUUUGAGCAGCUCACCAUGAGGCGCAGGAAGGCUGAGAGGAUGGAUUCUCUGCUCUGCUUCCACACAACCAGCCCUAGGAAGGCCAGGUCCAAGCUAACACCGCCACGGACCCGCAGCCAUCCCCACAGGUUUGCUGCCUCCCUUUUGGCUGGGAUCAAAAUCAGCCUCAAGGAACAAGACCCUUUGGAGAGCAAGACCCAAAAACCUCCAUCCAGCUUCCCAGCAGCCACUGCCCUGCAGCUCCAGCGCAGGGUUGGGCCAGCCCCAGCUCACACGACCCUCAAAAUGCACCCCCUGGAGGCAGGGCUGGACCAAUCCCAGCUGCUG